GAUGAACGCUGGCGGCGUGCCUAAUACAUGCAAGUCGAGCGAACAGACGAGGAGCUUGCUCCUCUGACGUUAGCGGCGGACGGGUGAGUAACACGUGGAUAACCUACCUAUAAGACUGGGAUAACUUCGGGAAACCGGAGCUAAUACCGGAUAAUAUAUUGAACCGCAUGGUUCAAUAGUGAAAGACGGUUUUGCUGUCACUUAUAGAUGGAUCCGCGCCGCAUUAGCUAGUUGGUAAGGUAACGGCUUACCAAGGCAACGAUGCGUAGCCGACCUGAGAGGGUGGACGACGAGAUAGGAAAUGAGACACGGUCCAAAAAAGUAAGGAGGGCCGCAGCAGGGAAAGUUACGAAAUGAGCGAAAGAUUAAAGGAGAAAAACAGCAUAAGAAAUGAUGGGAAACGAAUCAUAAAACUCUGUUAUGAGAGAAGAACAAAUGAGUAAGUAACUAGGCAAGUCGUGACGGUACAUAAUCAGAAAACCACGGCUAGCUACAUG
rnacentral:rRNA from 1 species